rnacentral:RNase_P_RNA from 1 species
UGGGUCGGCAAGACGGUCGCGUGGUCUGGUAACAGGCCCCGAGGAACGUCCGGGCUCCGCAGAGCAUGGCGGUGGGUAAUUCCCACCCGGGGUAACCCGCGAGACAGUGCAACAGAAAGCAGACCGCCGCCGGCUCAGGCCGGAGGUAAGGGUGAAACGGUGGUGUAAGAGACCACCAGCGGCCGGGGUGACCCGGUCGGCUAUGUAAACCUCGCCAGGAGCAAGGUCGAACAGGAAGCGUUACGGGUUGCUCGCCCAGUUUCCGGGUAGACCGCUAGAGGCGUGCGGCAACGUACGUCGUAGAUAGAUGGCCGUCCAGCGCGCGUUUUGUGACGCGCGUGAACAGAACCCGGCGUAUCAGCCGGCCCAUUCA